GGGAGGGACUGCCGGAGGCGGAAGAGGGAGAGCGGGUCUCGUCCCGCCGGCCGCGCGGGGGGGAGAAGAGGGGUGGGCUGCGACCACGGCCGGCGGGCUCGUGGAGGGGCAGGCGGGCGCGGAGCUCGGCGGCGGCCACGAGGAGGACAGCGGGAGGGGCGAGUGGAGGCCGCGUCGAGCAACAUCACUUCUCGAUAAUAAACCGCCGCCGUUCCUCUUCCCGCGGCUCCUCCACUGCGGCCGGCCGCAGCACGGAGGGACGUAGCAGCGGAGGCUGGAGUGGUACAUCGAGGACACUGCUCAUUACCCCUACCUUUUAAUAGUUGUUACCCCACACGUAAGCGACGACAAUGCCACAAAAGAAACUGCGACGGCGAGGACCUCGUGGUCGAGCUAAAAAAGAGUAUGACGACAAGGGGCUCGUGGUCGUGUUCCGCUUUAAAAACGUCCGGCAGAACAAGUUGUGGGCGUCCACUCGCGAGUCCGGACCCAAACAUAACAAGAGCCGAACUCAUAUACCCUGAGCUUGACACUACCUAUAGUACACUCCUUUCUUCCAAAUCAUACGUUAAUACCACAUGUGGUCUCUUUGUACACACAAAAAGGGAUACUUCUGUAGAUGAAGAAGUCUAUUAACUACAAAGACAUGAUUGGUAGUAGUUUAUUCCACUCUCAUGAAAUCCCAACUCAUUUACAAAGUCAACCUACAACUUAAUGGGGUAGUUCUCUUCGACUUGUUUCUUCUCACAACACCACAACCGUUUCAGUUUAAAGCGCCGCGGACGAAGUUUGGUGUGACGGUAAAAACCCUUUAGUUCGCAGGCGUGAUACCAAAGAUAUUUUGACUCUCCUAUAAGUAAAAUGGCCGCGACCGUUCCUCCAGUUCUUCCCUCGUUGAAGGUAACCAAGGUUCCUACGGCCGCUGGGGACGGUACCGUUUGGCCGUCACCUGCUCGAGCCGGACCUGCAUGGUGAAGUUCCGGAGUCCGACGAGGGGCUCGGGGUUCCCUGGUUUGGGCAUUAGCGGUCCGUCGGACGUAGGUCUUCGCGGUUCGAUAGGUAGUCGGAUUGUUGCUUGGUAGCGGCGGACGUCUCUUGUGGCCGUCUCCAACGGUGUCAACUGACUGCACGGCAGCUCCAUGCGGCCAUCCAGGUCGGGUCUGUCGGUGCGCGAGGCGCCACCGAGCCUGCCGCUUGGCCCGAGCACUGCUGACUUGUAACACAGGUCCGUACCACCAGCACGAGGACGACUUUCCACACCCACCGGACCUCCUCUCCCACGUCUGAGAAGGUACCCACAAUCGACGAUUGCGGUACUGGCGGCGGCAGCCUAAACCGACCAACUAGGGAACGAGCGGACUGGCGUCGACCGCUCCCAGGAAGAACCGACGUCGACAAAACCAACCCCGCACACCCACCACGCAGCCUGCCCAGUUUUUCGACACCUAUACCUUGAUCUCCGCAAGCGUGAAGCAUCGAGGUCACCGACAGUCUCAGACGUCGAACACAAGAAAAAAACGAAAGGACUCCCCUACGUCGAACACACGACCGGCCUCACAUAACUUGCCAAUAUUACGUCGAUGGCUUGAUCCAUACGGAUAAACACGAAUACACUAGACGCCUUUAAACGUAAGCAUGAUACUUAGCCGGUCGGAUGGAUGUUGUAAGUCUACAACAUAGACGAGCAAACCUCUUAUCUCUACAGAUACCUUGAACCCUUGUCACAGAACCCAACCUCACUUGACUAUGACGUUAUUUUGCCGGAUAUGUCGGAUAAUUCAUACGUCAACAGAACGACCCUCGUAGAGCGUGUUACAUAGGUCUCUCUACGACGGUGACCACUAUGUAGACACGCUUCGGUCUAGGUCUUACUCAGCUGUCUCAACCCUCAUCGCUAUGUUGUAGACCUCCGAUACGAAAAACUCGAACCUGCCUGUUACUACUGCGAAUCUUACCCCGGUAGAGGACAUACGUAAAAAGAUGAUACAGUGAUAGUGUGUUCACUAAGUGUUCCAAAUUCAUAAGACUAUCGAAAAAAUAAAACAUCCGAUUACGAAAACAUUUACGAUCCGUACGACAAAUAUGUUUGGGGUGACCUGGUUCAGGUUAGUACCAAGUCCGAUGGACAUAUCGAAACGAAAGGAUAGUACUUGACGACAGUUGAAACAAAACCCGAUAGUACGAUCGUACGUGACAUUGUACAUAGUGAUACAUAAUUGUACGAUGGAUUCAUAGAUAAAGAAAUAUGAAAUUCCUAGAAUAAUAGUCAGGAAUUUGUUUAGAAUGCACGUACUAAACGUACGAACCAAACAACAGCGGGAAACGUGGUAGCCGCGUUGCCCACCAGUCGACGAAAAAAUACACACUCUUACAGUCCUUAGAAAGAUAUACACGGGUCUAAAUAAACCACACGGACGAUACAAAGUGAAAGUGACGAGAAACAUAUUUAACUCUUUAAGAACUAAGAAAAAUACAAUAAAGAAAUGUACUUCCUAGGUCUAAUUUUAGAUUACACAAUAAGAACGACCGAAUCAAAUUUGUUUACGUAAAAUCUAGUGGAUGAAGAGUCAAGUACGUAAAACCUAGGUUUCGGAGGCAAUCUAAAAACCUACACGAGAGAAUCCAUCCAAAAGAAAAGAGAAAGAAAGGAAGGAGAACCCUGACAAUAAGAGACAGACAUAUAUAAACGAAGCUAACUUUAUUUCCUGGUACCCCGAAAACGAGGUACCACCCAUCACCUUUUUUUGAUUGUACAUAAACCAAAUUUGACGAACUUCAAUUGUUCCUGGUUCAUUGUAUGAUACACGAACGAGACAAACCAGCACCGUAUACUUAGACUAAUCUAGUAGCAUCAACUUAUUAAUCUUUGGAACCCCUCCUUAUACUACACACAAAAACAAAGUCAAUGUCUCUGAACCAGAGCACAAUACGGAGUAUUCCAGCUCCGUACACAAUGCCUCCGAUCCUUCUAAUAAAACGACAACAACUAAUCAAAAAAAAACUAUUACGUUUUUGUGGAUACAUGAUUAUUGGAUAUAUGAUUACAUGAUUGUUAGCAAAGGAAGAAAAGGUAACGUCAUUCAUCUUCAAUAUAAAAAAGGGACUGGUAAGGAAAGAAAAGGAUCCGGUCGCUAAACGAAAGGCGAGUCUAAUGCGACAGACGUCUGACGUCGGAGGAUAAACACUGCGGCACCUUGGAUUCCUAAAGGCCGCUAUGCGUCAGUCAUCCUCCCCUGCAAAAGUAGCUACUGCUCCACGAAUGCCACUGAAGUAUUAAAAGUUCUACUAUACAGCCGAGUCAGAAAGCCUCCACAAGUAUCCCCAUCCCACACGCACACACGCAAGUAUCCCUACUCAUAUACUCGCGAACGCAGACAUGACACAAUUUUUUUUGGAAAACUGGUAAAUGAACAAAUUUGGCUUCGUAGUUUUCAUGUUAAACAAACAUGGUAACAUAUGGUGUACUACUUGAGAUCUUUAUCUCAUAUUAUCUCAUAUUACGACUUAUAUAAGAGAUAAUAAUUAUAAUAGUUAAGCACUCUGAGUG
rnacentral:rRNA from 1 species